rnacentral:lncRNA from 1 species
UCAAAAAAAAAAAAAAAAAAAGGUCACUUCCAAAAGAACCUUUUACUCUUGUGCCAAGAUCCCUUCCUACCUUGCCUGCACAAAGGGAUUGUAAAGGUGAAGGGCAACAUUAGUCCAUUAUCUACCUGGGAAAGAACUGCAAAUUGCAAAAGGUUGGCAUUUUCUACACCUUUUUUAACCUCUUUCUUCACAAAAAGAUGCUUUAUAGUGACCAGACCCUCAACAGAAUUCAUUUUAACUUGGAGCUUGGACCACAAUCUGAGCAGAGAGCUGAGGACUGUGUGGGUUAGAAGCAACUGGGAAGCUGCUCAAGCCUGCACUUGGAAUGUUGGACCUGCAUUUCCAGUGUUUCCCCCUGGGAACAGAACAGCUCAGCCCACAGGAGACCCUCCGAGAGAACACAGGAGAAGGUUUGGGGGAUAAAAGAUCACAGAGGUUCACAAAACGAAAUUCAGCAGCAGGUACGUAAGAAACUUGCUCUCUACAGCAGUCAAGGCCAGUAAGCAGAACACAAAAUCCUAAUAAAUGGCAGCUCGAAAGGAAGUUAUGGUGUAAAUAAUUCCCAUUAUAGGCAAAGCUUUCACCUUAGAGCUCCUGUUAGUAAAAGUUCAUGGGAAAUGCAUAUAUUGGUAGCCCAGACUCCCUUUUCACCAGCCACAACAGAAAGAAAACAGAAUUACAGGAGGGUUUGUUUUUUCUGAAUAGGAUUUAAAAAUAAUUAAAUAAAUAGACAGAAACCCCUUGCCAGUGUGAUUAUUUCCUCCAAGCACAUCUCACUACAGGAAGGGUCCAUGGGCACUAAAAUCCCCUGCAAACAAAAUGUCCUGGAGAAGUCCAGGCCAUAAAUAACUGCAGGGCUUUUUUCCCUGAUGAACAGUUGUUGGCAGUGCCACCCCUCAGGCCCUGCUCUUCCGCUAUUUCUCUUCAUCGUGCCCAACUUUUAGGAAAUCCAAGGAAAUCCAUCCAGCCCCUCCCUGCCCUGAUGGCCACCAGCAGCUGAUGGGGAGCAGAAUGGGACACUGACCUUGAAAUAAUCAGGGCAGAAUGGUCACAGCACCUUUUUCUCCAGAACUGAGGGGGUAUUUUAAAUGUAAAAUCACAAUUUCCUCACCAAUUAGUUGCUACAACAGGAUAAAGCCUGGUUUAGGGCUCAGCUCCACACACAAUAACAAAUGAAUGUUUGCUUGGGUUGCAAUAAGAGAAGAUGAACAAGCUCCAUCUGACCUCGGAGCUGUCGGGCUCUGAAAGCAUGUCCACACCCUCCAGGGAAUUAAAAUCCCAUGGAAUCAUUCCAGAACAUACCUACAUGCACAAACAGAUACACACACACGUGUUUAUGCUUUUAUAGAGAGCUUUUUCCAGGCAGAAAUUAUAUGAAACGGGUCCAAAAUGGUUACAGUGAGUUUUUCUGCGAUGAUUCAGAAAUAGAGGCAAAUAAAAUCGACAUCCAAAACACGAAUAUUUAAUUAAAAAGAAAAAUAUGCAUUUCUAACCAGGACAUGCAGCUGUUUCCUCAUCAAUGCAUGGUCAGUUUGUAGUCUUACAUCUGAAUCCUUCUCCCCACUUUACUGCAUCUAGAAAUAAAGACAGAAUUGUGAUUUGAGUAAUGGCAUGUCAUAUGUUGAAUUUAUCUAAAACCAGCACCUUUAUCAGUACAAUUCCUUUGCUUUAUUUUUUUUUCCCCUGUACGCUGAGCUCCUGUCUGAUCUCAUUCUCCUUGCCUUUCAUUCACCUGGAAAAGGAGAGGGUUUUCCAUAUUUGAAUAACAGAAGCAACACACCCCAUGGAAUAGAAAGAAAUGGGCUGAAGUGAGAAGAUCUGAUUCUCAUUCUAAAUCAGGUUUGUGGCCUUGGAAUGAGGCACUCUUCUGCACAUUCCCCCUCUCUGCCUUUC